rnacentral:rRNA from 1 species
CAGUGACAUGCGAGGUUAAGGAGUACAGCUCCGGAGCCGAAGGGAAACCAAGUCUUAACUGGGCGUCUAGUAUGUUAAUGCAGACCCGAAACCGGGUGACCUAUCCAUGGGCAGGUUGAAGUUACCGUAAAAGGUAAUGGAGGACCGAACUCACAUCUGUUGAAAAAGGUGGAGAUGACCUGUGGAUAGCGGAGAAAUUCCAAUCGAACUCGGAGAUAGCUGGUUCUCCUCGAAAUAGCUUUAGGGCUAGCCUUGAGGUAAAGUCUAAUGGAGGUAAAGCACUGAUUGGACGCGGGUCCCCAAAAGGAUACCAACUUCUAUCAAACUCAGAAUGCCAUAUAGAUAUACUCAGGAGUCAGACUAUGUGAGAUAAGUUUCAUAGUCAAAAGGGAAAGAGCCCAGACCGACAGCUAAGGUCCCAAAGUGUGUGUUAAGUGGAAAAGGAUGUUAGGUUUCUAAGACAACUAGGAUGUUGGCUCAGAAGCAGCCACUCAUUUAAAGAGUGCGUAACAGCUCACUAGUCGAGAGGUCUAGCGCCGAAAAUGUCCGGGGCUAAAACACACCACCGAAGCUACGGAAUUACCUAUGGUAAUUGGUAGAGGAGCAUUCUGUAAGGAUGAAGCACAAUUGAAAGAGAGUGUGGACGAAACAGAAGAGAGAAUGCCGGAAUGAGUAGCGAGAUAUAUGUGAGAAUCAUAUAGGUCGAAUGUCUAAGGUUUCCUGGGUAAAGCUGAUCUGCUCAGGGUAAGUCGGGACCUAAGGUGAGGGCGAGAGCCGUAAUCGAUGGACAACAGGUAGAAAUUCCUGUACUACGUAUAAUCAGAACUGUGGGGACGCAGGAGGAUAGGAAAACCGGAGAAUGGAAAAAUCCGGCUAAGUACAAAGGUGUGAGUGAUAGGCAAAUCCGUCACUAUUAGCUGAAGACGUAAUGUGGAGCGAAGAAAAGUAGCGAAGUUUCUGAAUCCACACUGUCAAGAAAAGCCGCUAUUGCGUUAUACGUACCCGUACCGCAAACCGACACAGGUAGACGAGGAGAAAAUCCACAGACCGACGGGAGAAGUGUUGUUAAGGAACUCGGCAAAAUGACCCCGUAACUUAGGGAUAAGGGGAGCCAACGCAAGUUGGUCACAGAAAAGAGGCUCAAGCGACUGUUUAGCAAAAACAUAGGUCUAUGCGAAACCGUAAGGUGAUGUAUAUGGGCUGACACCUGCCCGGUGCUGGAAGGUCAAAAGGAGAGGUUAGCGCAAGCGAAGCCUUGAAUUCAAGCCCCAGUAAACGGCGGCCGUAACUAUAACGGUCCUAAGGUAGCGAAAUUCCUUGUCAGGUAAGUUCUGACCCGCACGAAAGGUGUAACGAUUUGAGCACUGUCUCGACAACACGCCCGGUGAAAUUGAAGAACCAGUGAAGAUACUGGUUACCCGCAACAGGACGGAAAGACCCCAUGGAGCUUUACUGCAGCUUAAUAUUGGGAUUCGGUAUUGUAUGUACAGGAUAGGAGGGAGACUAAGAAGCUAGCACGCCAGUGUUGGUGGAGUCGAUGGUGGGAUACCACCCUUAUAAUACUGAAUUUCUAACCUACUUCCGUAAUCCGGAAGAGGGACAUUGUUAGGCGGGCAGUUUGACUGGGGCGGUCGCCUCCGAAAGAGUAACGGAGGCGCUCAAAGGUCUUCUCAGAAUGAUUGGAAACCAUUCAAAGAGUGUAAAGGCAAAAGAAGGCUUGACUGCGAGAGUGACAACUCGAGCAGGUACGAAAGUAGGACUUAGUGAUCCGG